AGCUCCAAUAGCGUAUAUUAAAGUUGUUGCAGUUAAAACGCUCGUAGUCGGAUUUCGGGGCGGGGCGGCCGGUCUGCCGAUGGGUACGCACUGGUCGCCGCGCUCUUCUUGCCGGAGGCGCGGCCUACUCUUCACUGAGCGGGCCGUGAACUCGGCACGUUUACUUUGAAAAAUCAGAGUGUUUCAAGCAGGCAGCUCGCUCUUGCAUGGAUUAGCAUGGGAUAAUAAAAUAGGACUUUGGUGCUAUUUUGUUGGUUUCGAACACCAGAGUAAUGAUUAACAGGGACAGUCAGGGGCACUCGUAUUCCGCCGAGAGAGGUGAAAUUCUUAGACCAGCGGAAGACGAACAACUGCGAAAGCAUUUGCCAGGGAUGUUUUCA
rnacentral:rRNA from 1 species